GACGAACGCUGGCGGCGUGCUUCAUACAUGCAAGUCGAACGAGAAGCUGACUUCGGUCAGCGGAAAGUGGCGGACGGGUGAGUAAUAUGUAGGAAAUCUGCCUUUAGGAGGGGGACAACAGAGGGAAACUUCUGCUAAUACCCCAUAUGAGCGUAGCUGAAAUGCUCUUCUUGAAAACUCCGGUGCCUAAAGAUGGGCCUGCAUCGGAUUAGCUAGUUGGUAGUGUAAUGGACUACCAAGGCGACGAUCAGUAGCUGGGUUGAGAGGAUGAUCAGCCACAAUGGGACUGAGACACGGCCCAGACUCCUACGGGAGGCAGCAGUAGGGAAUUUUGCGCAAGGGGCGAAAGUCUGACGCAGCAACGCCGCGUGAACGAUUAAGCCCUUCGAAGUGUAAAGUUCUGUCAGUGGGGACGAAACUUGACGGUACCCACAGAGGAAGCACCGGCUAACUCCGUG
rnacentral:rRNA from 1 species